AUCCCUUCAGCAGCACAUAUACUAGAACUGGAACAAUGCGGGGAAGAUUAGCAAGGCCUCUGCACGAGGAUGACGUAAGAUUCGGGAAGCCGGCCGUAUUUUG